rnacentral:rRNA from 1 species
UACGUAGGGGGCUAGCGUUGUCCGGAAUUAUUGGGCGUAAAGAGCUCGUAGGCGGUCUGUCGCGUCGGCUGUGAAAACCCGGGGCUCAACCCCGGGCCUGCAGUCGAUACGGGCAGACUAGAGUGCGGUAGGGGAGACUGGAAUUCCUGGUGUAGCGGUGAAAUGCGCAGAUAUCAGGAGGAACACCGGUGGCGAAGGCGGGUCUCUGGGCCGUAACUGACGCUGAGGAGCGAAAGCGUGGGGAGCGAACAGG